UACGUAGGGGGCAAGCGUUGUCCGGAUUUAUUGGGCGUAAAGAGCUCGUAGGCGGUUUGGUAAGUCUGGUGUGAAAUCUUGGAGCUUAACUCCGAAACUGCAUUCGAUACUGCCGUGCUUGAGGACUGGAGAGGAGACUGGAAUUUACGGUGUAGCGGUGAAAUGCGUAGAUAUCGUAAGGAAGACCAGUGGCGAAGGCGGGUCUCUGGACAGUUCCUGACGCUGAGGCACGAAGGUCAGGGGAGCAAACGGG
rnacentral:rRNA from 1 species